ensembl:rRNA 5S_rRNA 5S ribosomal RNA
GCUAGCAGCUAGCUCUCUGCAACUCUCACAUGGUCAUCCACUGAAGCUAAGCAGGACUGCACCUUGUCAGUACCUGGAUGGGAGACCAUAUGGGAAAGCUAGGUUGCUGCUGGAA